AUAUAUGCUUUAUACACUAUAAGAUGAUCAAAUCAUCUUCUAUGUUAUAUUUCUUACAUACAAAGAGAACAAAAUAUGGUAAAAACACUCAAGUUAGUUAAUUAUAUGAUUUUCUUUCUUUCUAUUUUUCUUGUUGUAAAGAAUGUUGAUGGUGAUGAUGUUGUCUUCCAAUAUGUAUUUGAUGGAUGUAGAAUUGAUGCUGACUGUCCAAUAAGCGGGUUACAAUUGCUUAAGUGGAUGUGCAUUAACAAUGAAUGUGAAUUUAAUCAUGUGAGACCACGCUAUGUUUAAGUAGGAGACCCAAUUGAAUACACUAAGACCCAAUUAUGACCCUGAAGAAAGAGUGAGUUCUUAUGUUACUGAAAAAACUAUGCAAUAUAUCUUAUAUUUUCAUUUAGUUAUUAUGUUUGCACCAAGUAGUUUUAUUUUUUGUUAAUUUUUCUUUUGCAAUUUCUUUAAUCUUGAAGUUAUGUCAUUGUACUCUAAAUGUUGGUAAUGAAAUCAAGUUAGAUAAUAUUAUAGUUA